CUCAUCAAUGGAGACUUCAACGUAAUCUACGAAGCUAGGGAAAAAAACAACCUAAACCUCAAUAGGAGGAUGAUGGGUAGAUUUAGAUCGGCGAUUGAUAGAGCUGCGCUCAAGGAAAUUAGAUGCAAAAAUAGGAGGUUUACAUGGAGCAAUAAGAGGGAAUCGACAAUGCUAGUUAGCAUAGAUAAAUUCUUCACCAACGUUGAGUGGGAGACCCUGUUCCCAUCCUUCAUGCUCAUGGCCGCAUCCAUAUCAUGCUCCGACCACUCCCCCCUGGUUCUUGCUAGUGCCACGGUUCCUCCCACGCGUGCCCGUUUUCGUUUUGAGGGUUUCUGGAUAAACUACCCUCACUUUCGAGAAACUCUGCAGAGAGCUUGGCAGCAUGCUGCACCGCAAACUUGCACUUUCAGCAGAAUUCAGACAAGAUUUUAG
rnacentral:rRNA from 1 species